rnacentral:rRNA from 1 species
UACGGGGGGGGCAAGCGUUGUUCGGAAUUACUGGGCGUAAAGGGCUCGUAGGUGGCCAACUAAGUCAGACGUGAAAUCUCCCGGCUUAACUGGGAGGGUGCGCCGAAGACUGGAAGGCUUGAGUAUGGGAGAGGUAAGCGGAAUUCCUGGUGUAGCGGUGAAAUGCGUAGAUAUCAGGAGGAACACCUGCGGUGUAGACGGCUUACUGGACCAUCACUGACGCUGAGGCACGAAAGCGUGGGUAGCAAACAGG